rnacentral:lncRNA from 1 species
CACUAACAUAUAAACUAAUAUAUAUAUAUAUAUAUACUAACAUAUAUUAUAAAGCAUAUACUAACAUAUAUUAUAAAGCAUACACUAACAUAUAUAAUAAAGCAUAAAAUUAAAUUUACAUAUUCAAUUUACAUACACUAAUUAAUAAUAUAAUUAAUAAUAAUAUAAUUAAUUAUGUUAGCAUUAUAUAAUUAAUAAUAAUUAUUAUUUAUAUACAAAGAGAUAAAAAAGACAUAAUAAUUAAUUUAAUAUUAAUAAUAAUAUUUAUUGAUUUCCAUAUAUACAUACAUCAUACAUAAAAAGAUAGGCACAAAUUAAUUAAAUACAUGCAUAUAAUAUUUACAUACAAAGGAUUAAAGACAUAAUAAUUAAUUAAAUUAUGUUAGCAUUAUAUAUAAAGGCACAAAUUCUCACUUCUCCCUCACUGGGAAUAUAUAUUAUUAAAAAUAUAAUUAUUAAUAAUAUAAUUAAUUAUGUUAGUAUUAUAUAAUUAAUAAUAACUAUUAUUUAUAUACAAAGAGAUAAAAAAAGACAUAAUAAUUAAUUAAAUAUUAAUAAUAAUAUUUAUUGAUUUCUAUAUAUACAUCCAUCAUACAUAUAUGAAUAAUUAAAGUUAAAAAAAGAAAAAAACCUCAAUUCUCACUUCUCCCUCACUGGGCCGGCUUUGAGCUAGCCCACUACGUCCCCUCUGACAAGUGGGGCCCCUGUGUCGGGGUCGUCCCCUACCUUGGGCCGUCGCUCUUAGGCUGGCCGCCUCUCUCCUCCACGACCGGCCGCCACCACCGCAAAACCCUAGCCGUUGCGCCGCUAUUCGCACCCCCGCACCGCCGCCAUUCGCACCCGCCGCAGCAGCGCCCGCCAAACCCUAGCCGCCGCUGCACAUAAAACCGUCGC